rnacentral:rRNA from 1 species
GUUGUUGGGUAGGGGAGCGUUCUGUAAGCCGUUGAAGGUGGCCUGUGAGGGUUGCUGGAGGUAUCAGAAGUGCGAAUGCUGACAUAAGUAACGAUAAAGCGGGUGAAAAGCCCGCUCGCCGGAAGACCAAGGGUUCCUGUCCAACGUUAAUCGGGGCAGGGUGAGUCGACCCCUAAGGCGAGGCCGAAAGGCGUAGUCGAUGGGAAACAGGUUAAUAUUCCUGUACUUGGUGUUACUGCGAAGGGGGGACGGAGAAGGCUAUGUUAGCCGGGCGACGGUUGUCCCGGUUUAAGCAUGUAGGCGGAGGUUCCAGGUAAAUCCGGUACCUUUUAACGCUGAGGUGUGAUGACGAGGCACUACGGUGCUGAAGUAACAAAUGCCCUGCUUCCAGGAAAAGCCUCUAAGCAUCAGGUAACA